AUACGGAGGGUGCAAGCGUUAAUCGGAAUUACUGGGCGUAAAGCGUACGUAGGCGGUUUGUUAAGUUAGAUGUGAAAGCCCCGGGCUUAACCUGGGAACUGCAUUUAAAACUGGCAAACUAGAGUUGAGUAGAGGGGAGUGGAAUUUCAGGUGUAGCGGUGAAAUGCGUAGAGAUCUGAAGGAACACCAGUGGCGAAGGCGACUCCCUGGACUCAAACUGACGCUGAGGUACGAAAGCGUGGGUAGCAAACGGGAUUAGAUACCCUAGUAGUCC
rnacentral:rRNA from 1 species